UCCUCACCAUGUGACAUGGGUUACACACUCAGCUUCAACUGAAUGCAGCAGUGGAGGGAGAACAGUUCUUCCUAGGAGCCCUGAAUCUGCUCUGGGUCCUGAAGGAGACCCAGGACCACAGUGUGCCAAGCAGGCUGCUGGCCGCGUCUUCCAUGUUCUGCUGUUACUAGGCAUGCAGCUCAAUGUGUACCAUGCGUGCAACUCCUCCGGGAUUCAGAAGUAGCUUAUUUUUAUAUGCAUAGAUAAAAUGCCAAAAGGAAACAACAUAGGUAAACUGGCCCAGACUGCUCCUGAGUGUAUUAAGGGUUAGGAUUUCCUGAGGUUUGGGAAUGGGAGAUAGUGAUUCCUUAUGGGGGCCAAUGUCUGGGUGAUGGCCAUUUACCAGCUGUGGGAAAUUUCUUACUUCAUUGCUCAGGUUCCUUAACUACAUCAUAAAGAUGAUGCACAGGUGUCUACGCCAGUCCAGACGGGAUGUGUCCAAGUGCACACUGCCAUGCCCUGAGCACUGAAUAUGGUGCCCAGUGCCCCUGAGCAACCCCUGAAUGUAACUAGUCACUGUCAUUAAGAGGAGCUUCUUGUCGUGUAUGACAUCACAUUAUGGGUCUUACCACACUCUGUGAUUUGACCUUCAGGUGUCUUAUAGAUAAAAACACAGAUGACACUCAGUAAACCAGAGAGAAUCGUUCUGCAGACAUGUUGUUACCGACACUCAUUGUUAAGAAAUGAGGUCAGAGAGGGAGAGACUAGUUCCUGUCACGUGUAGUCCUCUUGCCUAAAACGGGAAGCGUUGAAGGGUCAUUGAGAUCCAUCCAAUGUUGCUUGUAAACAGACCCAGUUUCGUAGUUGGCUUAGGAAGAUGCAGAUUCCAAGACCAAACGAAGCUGAAGAACCACCAGUGCUGACUUCACCAGCCUCAUCCUUGUCGACGCAGCUGCCCAGAAGGGCUCACCCAAAGCUGCACCAACCUCAGAGUUUGGCAGAAGUCAGUGCCAACCCAUCCUCCUCCCUGCUCCACAGGCCGGCACCCACCUGAGGCUUUGCCCUGCCAGGCUGCCCUCGGUCACUGAGCCUGAGACCUUCCUGAGCUCAACGGCUGGGCCAGCUGGAUUCAGGGCCACUGUGACUUGGUGUCUUUGUGUUAGUAGGACUGUUAUGGUUUGGAUGUGAGAUGUCCCCCAAAAGCUCACGUGUGAGACAAGGCAAGAAGGCUCAGAGGAGAAAUGAUAGGGUUAUGGGAGUCUUCAUCCAAUCAGUGAAUUAAUCCCGUUGGGGUUUAACUGAGUGGUAAUUGAAGGCAGGUGUGUGGCUGGAGGAGGUGGGUCCCUAGGGACGCACCUCUGAGAUAUAUAUUUUGUAUCUGGC
rnacentral:lncRNA from 1 species